AAAAGUUUAAUUAAUAUACAAAAUCAAACAAUUUAUCAUCUACAAGGGUAGCGAACCCACAACUCAUUAAUAAAAAUGUAUGCCUUUAAGAUGUUAAAAAACAAUAAUCAAUCAUAUAAAGAAAAACCCAACUUAAAAAAUUUAGUCCUGUACUUGAAUUGGCUUCCAAUGACUCCGUGUCAACCACAACCUGCUCAAUCCACUCACAUGCAACCUUACACGAUGAGAAAUAACUAGUGAGAAACUGCUCAUAUCGAUUUGGAAACAUCGAUGAACAAAUGCCGAGCUAAAGAACACAAUAAGUGAGCAGACGUUGAUGAAAUUUGGAAUCGAUGAUUUUUGCCUCUAUUAUCAUAAGAUCUAUGAUUAUGAUGGAUGAAAAACAAAAAGUGAUACAGACUACAGAUGGGAAGAGGAUUUGAAGAAGAAAAAAGAAAGGAAAAAAUAAAGAAAAAGAAAUAGAAUAGAUGGGCAAAUGGGAUGGAUGGUUUGUAGUUUAUCAUACAAAUAUGUGCACUCUAAACAACAUAGCAUAACGGUCGAUCAGUUCGAUUUUUUUGAUAAAAAUAAUCAAAUCAAAAACCAAAAUUAUUAAAAACUCAUAACCAUACCGCACCGGGAGAAUAAAAAAUUGACCCUUCAGACCGAAAACUGCUAAGCCUAGAUUGGCAAUCCAUAAAUUACAUGCAAUAUAAAUCCUAUCAAUCUCUUCUAAAAACUUACAAAUUACCACAAAAAAAUAUCCAACACAAAACUUGCACUACGUUCAAAAAUAUAGAAAAGAUGCAUUCUAUGGACAACAGCUAUGCUUCCUUUCUGUAACUCUAAAAAAGUAUUAAUGGCUUAAUCAUUGCGUUAUGCAUUACUAAUACUCUCAAUUCAAUAAGUAUUUAAUAUUGGAGAGCAU
rnacentral:misc_RNA from 1 species